AUUGAACGCUGGCGGCAGGCUUAACACAUGCAAGUCGAGCGGGGUGAUGGUGCUUGCACUAUCACUUAGCGGCGGACGGGUGAGUAAUGCUUAGGAAUCUGCCUAUUAGUGGGGGACAACAUCUCGAAAGGGAUGCUAAUACCGCAUACGUCCUACGGGAGAAAGCAGGGGAUCACUUGUGACCUUGCGCUAAUAGAUGAGCCUAGGUCGGAUUAGCUAGUUGGUGGGGUAAGGACCUACCAAGGCGACGGUCUGUAGCGGGUCUGAGAGGAUGAACCGCCACACUGGGACGGAGACACGGCCCAGACUCCUACGGGAGGCAGCAGUGGGGAAUAUUGGUCAAUGGGGGGAACCCUGAUCCAGCCAUGCAGCGUGUGUGAAGAAGGCCUUAUGGUUGUAAAGCACUUUAAGCGAGGAGGAGGCUCUUUUGGUUAAUACCCAAGAUGAGUGGACGUUACUCGCAGAAUAAGCACCGGCUAACUCUGUGCCAGCAGCCGCCGUAA
rnacentral:rRNA from 1 species